UAAGUACUCCCUCCGUCCCAUAUGAAGUGUCGCAACUUUGUCUAGAUACGCAUGUACCUACACAAACGUCUAGGUACAUGCGUAUCUAGACAAAGUUGCGACACUUGAUAUGGGACGGAGGGAGUACUUA
rfam:Brachypodium distachyon strain Bd21 chromosome 4, whole genome shotgun sequence.